GAUGAACGCUGGCGGCGUGCCUAAUACAUGCAAGUAGAACGCUGAAGGAGGAGCUUGCUCUUCUGGAUGAGUUGCGAACGGGUGAGUAACGCGUAGGUAACCUGCCUGGUAGCGGGGGAUAACUAUUGGAAACGAUAGCUAAUACCGCAUGACAACAGUUAUUGCAUGAUAACUGUUUAAAAGGGGCAACUGCUCCACUACCAGAUGGACCUGCGUUGUAUUAGCUAGUUGGUGAGGUAACGGCUCACCAAGGCGACGAUACAUAGCCGACCUGAGAGGGUGAUCGGCCACACUGGGACUGAGACACGGCCCAGACUCCUACGGGAGGCAGCAGUAGGGAAUCUUCGGCAAUGGACGGAAGUCUGACCGAGCAACGCCGCGGGAGUGAAGAAGGGUUUCGGAUCGUAAAGCUCUGUUGUAAGAGAAGAACGAGGGUGAGAGUGGAAAGUUCACACUGUGACGGUAUCUUACCAGAAAGGGACGGCUAACUACGUG
rnacentral:rRNA from 1 species